rnacentral:lncRNA from 1 species
ACAACCUCCAUACAUAUUUCACCACAUCUAGAACACCCCAUACAAGGAUCAAAGAACCAAGUUAAGAAGUGAAUCAAAAUAUGGAUCUACACGAGAUAUCAUAGUGAUCUCAAGUCAAAGGAUCAGUUACAUAACUUUCAUUAGAGAAUCAUCAGUUGACAUGUAAAUAAGACUCCAUCUGAUAUUUUUUCGUAGAUCUAUUCAAUGAACUCAUUCUCUAAUA